AUUGAACGCUGGCGGCAGGCCUAACACAUGCAAGUCGAGCGGAUGAAGGGAGCUUGCUCCUGGAUUCCGCGGCAGACGGGUGAGUAAUGCCUAGGUAUCUGCCUGGUAGUGGGGGAUAACGUCCGGUAACGGGCGCUAAUAUCGCAUACGUCCUGAGGGUGAAAGUGGGGGAUCUUCGGACAUCACGCUAUUUGCUGAGCCUAGGUCGGAUUAGCUAGUUGGUGAGGUAAAGGCCUACCAAGGCGACGAUCCGUAGCUGGUCUGAGAGGAUGAUCAGUCACACUGGAACUGAGACACGGUCCAGACUCCUACGGGAGGCAGCAGUAGGGAAUAUUGGGCAAUGGGCGAAAGCCUGAUCGAGCCAUGCCGCGUGUGUGAAGAAGGUCUUCGGAUUGUAAAGCACUGUAAGUUGGGAAGAAGAGCAGUGAGUGAAAACCUUGCUGUUUUGACGUUACCAACAGAGUAAGCACCGGCUAACUACGUG
rnacentral:rRNA from 1 species